UACGUAGGGGGCAAGCGUUGUCCGGAUUUAUUGGGCGUAAAGAGCGUGUAGGCGGUUUGGUAGGUCCGCUGUGAAAACUCGAGCUCAACCUCGAGACGCCGGUGGAAACCAUCAGACUAGAGUCCGGAAGAGGCGAGUGGAAUUCCUGGUGUAGCGGUGAAAUGCGCAGAUAUCAGGAGGAACACCAAUUGCGAAGGCAGCUCGCUGGACGUUACUGACGCUGAGACGCGAAAGCGUGGGGAGCAAACAGG
rnacentral:rRNA from 1 species